AGCGAACGCUGGCGGCAGGCUUAACACAUGCAAGUCGACAGGCAACGGGUGAGUAACACGUGGGAACGUACCUUUCGGUUCGGAAUAAUCCAGGGAAACUUGGACUAAUACCGGAGCGAUUGAUGGGCCCGAGUCUGAUUAGCUAGUUGGUGAGGUAAUGGAUCACCAAGGUUGCGAUCAGUAGCUGGUCUGAAGGAUGAUCCGGCACAUUGGGACUGGGACACGGACCAAACUCCUACGGGAGGCAGCAGUGGUGAAUAUUGGAAAUGGGCGCAAGAUGAUCCAGCCAGGCCGCGUGAGUGAUGAAGGACUUAGGGUGGUAAAGCUCUGUUGUCCGGGAAGCUGUACCGGAAGAAUAAGCCCCGGCUAACUUCGUGCCAGCAGCCGCGGUAAUAC
rnacentral:rRNA from 1 species